rnacentral:rRNA from 1 species
CCUACGGGAGGCAGCAGUGGGGAAUAUUGGACAAUGGGCGCAAGCCUGACCCAGCAACGCCGCGUGUAUGAAGAAGGCUUUCGGGUUGUAAACUUCUUUUCUCAGGGACGAAGAGAGUGACGGUACCUGAGUAAUAAGCCACGGCUAACUGCAGUCCAGCAGCCGCGGUACUACGUAGGUGGCAAGCGUUAUCCGGAUUUACUGGGUGUAAAGGGCGUGUAGGCGGGACUGCAAGUCAGAUGUGAAAACCACGGGCUCAACCUGUGGACUGCAUUUGAAACUGUAGUUCUUGAGUACUGGAGAGGCAGAUGGAAUUCCUAGUGUAGCGGUGAAAUGCGUAGAUAUUAGGAGGAAUACCAGUGGCGAAGGCGGUCUGCUGGACAGCAACUGACGCUGAGGCGCGAAAGCGUGGGGAGCAAACAGGAUUAGAUACCCCAGUAGUC